rnacentral:rRNA from 1 species
AUUGAACGCUGGCGGCAGGCCUAACACAUGCAAGUCGAACGACUGGCGGACGGGUGAGUAAUGUCUGGGAAACUGCCUGAUGGAGGGGGAUAACUACUUGAAAUGGUAGCUAAUACCGCAUACCAUCGGAUGUGCACAGCUGGGAUUAGCUAGUUGGUGGGUUAACGGCUCACCUAGGUGACGAUCCCUAGCUGGUCUGAGAGGAUGACCAGCUACACUGGAACUGUGACACGGUCCAGACUCCUACGGGAGGCAGCAGUGGGGACUAUUGCACAAUGGGCGAAAGCCUGAUGCAGCCAUGCCGCGUGUAUGAAGAAGGCCUUCGGGUUGUAAAGUACGUUCAGCGGGGAGGCGUUACUCGCAGAAGAAGCACCGGCUAACUCCGUGCCAGCAGCCGCGGUAAUAC